rnacentral:lncRNA from 10 species
AAGCUUGGAAAAAAGCACUACGUGUCUGCUUGCACUCCUGAGCCUCCACCAUUGCUGUGAAAACAUGCCUGGGAGAGCCUGCUGGAAGACAGUACCCAGAGCAGCGCCCCAGUCUCUCCAGUUGACUAGCCAGGACCAGCCUAGAUCUUCUGACAACUGGAUGACCUUCAGAUAUCAUAAGAAAACAGCCGAAGAUUAGAUUUUGAUAAUGAGAGAGCCCAACGAUCCUGGACCCCUGGCCGGGAGGACAAUAGGGGAAACAGGUGAAACACUGUGUGAGCUGGACCACCCAGGCUCUCCAACACCAGGACACCAGAGCAUCCUUCCUCCUUCUUCUCUUCUGCUGCGACUUCCUGGAGGCAUAGCAGAGUUACAACUGCUGGCCAUGUGGAACUUCUCUUCUCCUAUAAGUUUGCUCUGAGAUGGAGAGAUUGUGCCUGUGGUUCAUUAGGAAGAGCUCUUGGGAUCAAUGCCUGUAAUAAGGAAGGGAAGGAAUCAGGAUUGGCCAGAAGGAGAAGUUGAGCUGUGUUGAAGCCUCAAUGGAGACCUCAGCCAAUUCUGAGUCAUGUCCUGAAGCUAGAAUAUGUCCUCUAAAUUAUCCCAAGCUGAGAUGAGGGAGCUGGGCAUUUAGCCCUGUAUUAGGCCAUUCUUGCACUGCUAUAAAGAAAUAACUAUGGCCUGGCGCCGUGGCUCACGUCCUUAAUCCUAGCACUUUGGGAGGCCGAGGCGAGCAGAUCACGAGGUCAGAGUUUGACACCAGCCUGGCCAAUAUGGUGAAACCCCAAUUCUACUAAAAAUACGAAAAUUAGCCAGGCGUGGUGGCACAUGUCUGUAAUCUCAGCUACUCGGGAGGCUGAGGCAGGAGAAUUGCUUGAACCCAGGAAGUGGAGGUUGCAGUGAGCUGAGAUUGUGCCUCUGCACUCCAGCCUAGGGAAUAAAGCGAAAGUCUGUCAAAAAAAAAAAAAAAAAGGAAAGAAGGAAAUAACUGAGACUGGUAAUUUAUAAAGAAGAGGUUUAAUUGGCUCACAGUUCCUCAUGCUAUACAAAAAGCAUGAUGCUGGCAUCUGCUCAGCUUCUUGGGAGGCCUCAGGAAAUGUACAAUCAUGGCAGAAGGUGACGCGGGAGCAGGCAGUUCACAGGGCCGGUGCAGGAGGAGAGAGAGAGGCAGGAGAUGCUACACGCCUUUAAACAACCAGAUCUCCUGAUAACUCACUCUCGUCACAACACCACCAAGGGAGAUGGUGUUAAACCAUGAGAAACCACCUCCACGAUCCAAUCACCUCCCACCAGGCCUCACCUCCAACACUGGGGAUUUAUAAUUCCACGUGAGAUUUGGGUAGAGGACACAGAUCCAAAAUAUAUCAUACCCCCACGUUGAUCAGUCAUUAGAUGUGGGCCACCCUAGUUGAGGCAGCUCCCCUCGCUCAGGUGGUUCCUGAAGCGAGCUGACAGCUGACGGCUGCAUGCCAGAGGUACUGUCAGCAGCUGAAGGAGAGUCUUUUGUGCUAAAAGCCAUCUUAAGCAGCACAGCACAGCGUCCACCACAUAUUGUGGACAGGUGAUAUGGUUUAGAUCUGUAUCCCCACCACAAUUUCAUGCUGAAUUGUAGUCCCCAAUGUUGGAGGUAAGCCCUGGUGGGAGGUGUUCGGGUCGUGGGAGCAGAUCCCUCAUGAAUGGCUUGGGCCAUCCUCUUGGUGAUGAGGGAACACUCACUCUGAGUGUUCACAAGAUCUGGUGGUUUAAACGUGUAUGGCACCUCUCCCCACCCCCACUCUUUCUUGUUCCUGCUUUUGCCAUGGGACUCGCAUGAUCCCUUUGCCUUCUGCCAGGACUAAAAGCUCCCUGGAGCCUCCUCAGAAGCUGAGCGAUGUUGGCGCCAUGCUUCUGGUACAGCCUGCAGAACCAUGAGCCAAUUCAACCUCCUUUCUUUAUAAAUUACCCAGUCUCAGGUAUUUCUUUAUGGCAAUACAAGAACACCAGGGGUUUGCAGGUAACCCGGGCCCCUGUCCUUGAGGACACAGCAGCAAGCCAUUGGUAAAGCAAAACUGUCCAUAAGGAAGGCUGCUCCCAUGCAGUGUUCAUUUGGGCAGCCCAGAAAUCGAGAAAUCCUCGGUCCAUUUCAAGUUUGGGGGAAAACUUAUUUUUAUCAUAUUUGAGAUGAAUAAUAAAAGCAAAUCCAGAAGUCGGAUGGCAUCUUUUAUUGGACUUAGACCUGGUGUUGUUGAAUGGGAUUAGAUCUGUGGGAUGAAGAAUGAAUCCUGAUUCACAGCCACUGCCCUAUACUGGACUUAUGGAGUCCACCCCUGACACACUGUGGCCUCGGGUGCUGAGACUUCCACAGGGUUUUGGAACUGCCCAGAUACAUGUGUGCCAAUUGGAGCCUGGGGUCUGUAUGUCUGUCUUCCAGAACUAAAGAUCUCUCAGAUCCAAAACUGGCUACAUAUUCUGGAGCAUGGAACUUUAAUUUCCUCUUUUAUUUGUUCAUUUGUUCAUCUAUGCAUUUGACAGGUAUUUACUGAAACUAGAUUGCAACUCAACCAGAUGUAGUGGGAGAGGCAGAUAAUUGAAAAAGGAAGUACAAUGGUGUGGGAAAAGUAUUAGGAAAGAGGAAGUGCAGGGUUGUAUGGGAGCUCGAGGAGGAACGGAGAAAGUCUCCCAGGAAAUAAGGGC